rnacentral:rRNA from 1 species
AUUGAACGCUGUUGGCGUGCCUUACACAUGCAAGUCGAACGGAAACGCGCCGUCUUAUGCUGACGAUCGACUGACGGAUGAGUAAUACAUCCGAGCGUGCCCUAUCCUGGAGUAUAACAAAACUUAAGCUUUGCGGAUACCGCACACGAUCUAAGCACCAGACUCCGGGACCGCAGGGCCUUGCUCCAACGGAUGGGCCAUAUGACUCAUUACUUAUCUGGUGGGAUAAAAGCUUACGACUCCCACAAUCUGUAACUGGUCUGAGAGCACAACCGGCCACCCUGCGACUGAGACACGACCCACACUCCUAACUCAUGCAGCAGGGAGGAAUUUUGAACAUUGGGCGAAGGCCUGAUCCCUCCAUGCCGCGCGCACGAUGAAGGCCUUCGGGUUGUAAACUGCUUUUGUACUUACCCAUGAGACUCUGGUUAAUACCUGGGGUCCAUGACAGAACCGCCAAGAUUAAUCCCCGGCUAACUACGUGCCGACACCCACGGUGAUACCUAUGGCGCGAUCUUUUGUCCGAAUUACUGUCCGAAAAGCGUGAUCACGCCGUAAUAUAAAACAUAUGUCUUAUCCCCGAGCUCGCUCUCGAAACUGCAUUUGUGACUGUAUAGCUAUAGUACGGGAGAGGGAGAUGGAAUUCCGCGUGUAACAGUGAAAUGCGUAAAUAUGCGGAGGAACACCGAUGGCGAAAGCAAUCCCCUGGGCCUGUACUGACGCUCAUGCACGAAAGCGUGGGGAGCAAACAGGAUUAAAUACCCUGGUAGUCCACGCCCUAAACGAUGUCAACUGGUUGGUGGGUCUUCACUGACUCAGUAACGAAGCUAACGCGUGAAGUUGACCGCCUGGGGAGUACGGCCGCAAGGUUGAAACUCAAAGGAAUUGACGGGCACCCGCACAAGCGGUGGAUGAUGUGUUUUAAUUCGAUGCAACGCAAAAAACCUUACCCACCUUUGACAUGUACGGAAUCCUUUAGAGAUAAAAGAGUGCUCCAAAGAGAGCCGUAACACAGGUGCUGCAUGGCUGUCGUCAGCUCGUGUCGUGAGAUGUUGGGUUAAGUCCCGCAACGAGCGCAACCCUUGUCAUUAAUUGCUACGAAAGGGCACUCUAAUGGGACUGCCGGUUCCAAUCCGGAGGAAGGGGGGGAGGAGUUCAAUUCUCCUUCCCCUUAAUUGCAGGGGUUCCACCAGUCAUCCAAGGGUGGUACCAAAAGGUUCCCACCCCUGGAGGGGAAGCUAUUUCCAAAAACCCAUUUCAAUUCGGAAUGGCAUUUUCCAAUUGGCCUCAGGGAAUUGGAGUUCGUUGUUAUUCCAGAUCCGCAACGUUGCGGUGAAUACGUUCCCGGGUCU